rnacentral:rRNA from 1 species
UACGUAGGGGGGCUAGCGUUGUCCGGAAUCAUUGGGCGUAAAGCGCGUGUAGGCGGUUCGGUAAGUCCGCUGUGAAAGUCGGGGGCUCAACCCUCGAAUGCCGGUGGAUACUGUCGGACUAGAGUACGGAAGAGGCGAGUGGAAUUCCUGGUGUAGCGGUGAAAUGCGCAGAUAUCAGGAGGAACACCAAUUGCGAAGGCAGCUCGCUGGGACGUUACUGACGCUGAGACGCGAAAGCGUGGGGAGCAAACAGG